UGCCCAUGACAGGCUUGUGCAGAAUGAACAGAGAACAUUCAUUACGUUUAGAACAGAAGAUAUCCUCAUACUUAAUACAAAAAUAAUGUAGAAGAUAUUAUAAAAGGUAAAGAUAAAUUACCAUCGUAGUUCCUACAAGACAGACUUUCAGACAGAUGAACACAGCAUAAAGACUUUCAGAAGUUCUACACUGCUUUAACUGCAGAGAGCGUCAAAGAAAAGAGCAUCCACAAUGGAAGAGGAAGAAGAAGAGGUGAAGUUAGGGGUGACCAAUGAAAAUUCCAUCUAAGUGACUUGGGGCAACACUAUCAUGUACAGUGUUAAUAUACAUUAACACUCAAGGAAGAAUA
rnacentral:lncRNA from 1 species